rnacentral:tRNA from 1 species
AGGGCAGUAGCUCAAUUGGCAGAGCACCGGUCUCCAAAACCGGUUGUUGGGGGUUCAAGUCCCUCCUGCCCUGCCA